CACCGCCCGUCACACCAUGGGAGUCAGUUGCUCCAGAAGUGGCUGAGCCAACCCGCAAGGGAGGCAGGUCCCUAAGGAGUGGCUGGUAACUGGGGUG
rnacentral:rRNA from 1 species